CUCGGCGAAUUAUGUACGCGCCGAGAGGAAAGCGUACUGCGCUGCUAUUUCACGCAUCGGAUCCAGUUUGCGCGAGACGAAGGGCAAAACUGUGGCGGGGGCAGACUUUUUCAGAAAAACCGACGCGAUUGACGAAACACGGGACAACAGCACCCCGCCGAGCCUCGCAGUGAGAAUUAACCAGGCCGGGAUUCGCGAUUAACGCACGAAGCAAUAGGAUCAACUGCUUUUUCUAAUCAGCUUUGUUUCUCGUCCUCGUUUACACGAACGAGGACGCCGGAGCACACAGAGGAGAACAGAAGUCGGAGCAGCCUCGACAUGUCCCGGAAUCGUUGGGCGGAAUUUAUGGACCGCCUAGUUCCUGGCCCAGAAAACAACUACCGCGAAAAUAACGCCGAAGCUCCGUUGGUCUUUCCUUUUCUCGAGAUCUCGUAAUUUCGUCAGAUGGAUUUGAUGGAGCGAGAACUUCCAUCGUUCGUGCAGUCACCAACAUCGCCGACAGGCAUCGUGUACUUCGGGAAGCAAAGUACGGAUAGGUACAUAUUCGCAGAACAAAAGGGGACGAACGAUACGACACCGAAAAGGAUUUAAUUCUGGUAGAUGCACGGAUGCAUCGCGAUGACUUCUUAGACGAGGUAAUCCUUGCCGAUCCACGAGCGUUCCUAGGUAAUCGGAAACCGCGUUUACAUAAGAUUGACGCUUUUACAAAGGCGAGCAGGAAACCGAGCGGAUCGUUGCAAUACGAAUGGCUUUAGAUACAACGAGUAAUUGUUUCAGCUGUAGAUACGUAGGUAAUUUCGAAAGGCAGCGGUGGUCGAUCGAGACGAAGUUUGGUGGAUAUCGUGAGAUAAGAUAGUAAUUAAACGUUGUGCAAUUACAAGUGAAAUAUAAAAUCUUAACUUUGGCAAAUCAUGCAUUCAGCCGAUAUAGAUCUCUGCAUCUCUGAUAGACGGCCAGAAGAGUAUAAGUCAGAAUUAUUAAUUUCGCGGGGAAGCAUUUAUACUAUAAGCUUAGCUAUUAUAUUUUGGAUAUACCGUUAGAAUCUCGGAAAAAUUGAAAUUGACUCGUAUUAGUAGCAAUCACAGGGAAAAGAAAGUAAUGUAGAAAAUACUAGCGUACUUAUCCUGUUGACCACAAUUUGACUUGUAU